rnacentral:rRNA from 1 species
GCAGUCGAGCGAGACCUUCGGGUCUAGCGGCGGACGGGUUAGUAACGCGUGGGAAUAUACCCUUCACUACGGAAUAGCCUCGGGAAACUGGGAGUAAUACCGUAUACGCCCUUUUGGGGAAAGAUUUAUCGGUGAAGGAUUAGCCCGCGUCUGAUUAGAUAGUUGGUGGGGUAAUGGCCUACCAAGUCUACGAUCAGUAGCUGGUUUGAGAGGAUGAUCAGCAACACUGGGACUGAGACACGGCCCAGACUCCUACGGGAGGCAGCAGUGGGGAAUCUUAGACAAUGGGCGCAAGCCUGAUCUAGCCAUGCCGCGUGAGUGACGAAGGCCUUAGGGUCGUAAAGCUCUUUCGCCAGAGAUGAUAAUGACAGUAUCUGGUAAAGAAACCCCGGCUAACUCCGUGCCAGCAGCCGCGGUAAUACGGAGGGGGUUAGCGUUGUUCGGAAUUACUGGGCGUAAAGCGCACGUAGGCGGAUUGGAAAGUAUGGGGUGAAAUCCCAGGGCUCAACCCUGGAACUGCCUUGUAAACUCCCAGUCUAGAGUUCGAGAGAGGUGAGUGGAAUUCCAAGUGUAGAGGUGAAAUUCGUAGAUAUUUGGAGGAACACCAGUGGCGAAGGCGGCUCACUGGCUCGAUACUGACGCUGAGGUGCGAAAGUGUGGGG